GCGUUCGUAGCUCAACCGGAUAGAGCACCGGUACCUUCUAAGCCGGGGGUUACAGGUUCGAGUCCUGUCGGGCGCGCCA
rnacentral:tRNA from 1 species